GCCCAGGGAGCCCCAGGUUGGCCUCAAGCACAAGGCAGAGGCCGACUGGCUCCUCCUGGGCCUUAGGGCCCUCAGGACCCGUGUUUCCCGGCCACCCUCCCAGUGGCUGCCCCCUGCCAGGCCCACAAGUGUCAACGCCCCCGGCUUUGUCUAAGGUAGGGACCAGAAAGUGUCAGUCCGGAGCGAAAUGUGGCCCAAGAAGUGACAGCAAGGGGAACCGUGUCCCUGGCUAGAUGGGGACAGGCAGGGGCCCGUCCGGUGGCCUCCUGCCUGACCAUGUAGUGAACCCCACGUGGAGGAGGUUGGUCUCUAUCUUGGAGGCCCCGGGCACUACCGUCCAUUGGCCAGCACCAGGGCUGCCUCCACUCCCACCAGGCCCUGCUGCAGUCCCCGAUCUGCUGGCCCCAUUUCUGCCCUGCACCCCGUCUCCCAGGCCUGCACCCCACAGUCAGAGGAGCCUCUCACAGCCGUGCUGGUCCUGUCUUCCUUUAAAAUCCCUCCUGUCAGCUGCUCCCUGGGUCCCUCAAGGUGAAAGCACAGCCCUUGUCAUCGCCCAGGAAGCCCAGACUCAGACCCGAGGACUGGUGGGAAGUAGCCGCAGGUCCUCACCUCACUGCACGGUCCACACAGGCUUGUUCUCAGCCCCAGGACCUUUGCACACGCUGUUCCUCCUGCCUCACCCUCCUGUGGACAGGCCCUCCCUGCCCUCUGCCCCUCCUGCAUGACAUUGUCACUGUUUGAGGUGAGCUUUUACUGUUUAAGGUUUGGUGCAGGAUCUGAGUCUCCCGAGUGCUCCCGAGUGAGGAGGAAGGACAGCUUCCUGUUCCAGAAGGGCAGCUCCUGCCUGAGCUCGGUUCCUGGCACCUUUUGUCCCUUGGUCAGUGUUCCUUGGAGGAGGGAGGCCGCAGCAGGUUGGUGGCCGCAGGACUUGAACCCAGGCCCACCUAACUCCACAACCCAGCGGCUCUCUGGGUCCCGGCUUCCUCCCGAGCAGCGGUCAGCCCAGCGGCAGCGGCUCUUCCCCGGGGACAUGCUCCCGGCCAGCCUCGUCCUCAGCCCUGGCCGCUACAGACGCUGCCCAUGAAUCAAGCUGACGUUUCCAUUACCCGCGGGAAACGAGUGUGUGGCCAGGCACGGGGUGGCUUCGGCGGGGGUGGUGGGGACAAUUGCUGGUCACUGUCACCAGCCUAGGAGGACGUCAACCCUGUUAACUCGUCACCUCCCGCCAGAGGGUGAACCCUGGCCCCAGGUUCGCCUGCACCUGGCAGAAGAGGGGCCACCGGGCAGAGGAGCCCAGGGCCUCUGAGGGUCACAUGCGGGGGCCACCAGGCUCAGCACACAGCCGGGCACAGGGAGCCGGGGCCUGUGGGGACAGAGAGGCUGAGCUCGGGCGCCCAGGGGAGAGCAGGGCCGCGGGUCGGGCCCGGUGUGGUGUCCACACCACAGGCACACACCCAAGGCCAUCAGGGUCAGCACAAGUCCACUCAGCACAGGGGACUGUUCUCUGGGAAAGCGCUUUGCAGGGGCAGAGGAAGGCACCCCGUCCUCUGUGUGUUCCCCAGGGGCCCCCAGGUGGCAUGCCCCUCCUCCCAAGCCAACAGUGGCCUUAGUUCCCUCCAAGUAACUCUCAGUGGCUCCUGGAUUAGUCACCUGAACAUCCUGGAAGUGCUCCCUGUUAUCUAACCAGCAGCCCUCUUGUUACACUGGAAAAUAGCUAGUUUCCAGCCCCUUCCGGACGUGCUCAGGAGGAGACAGGAGGACUUGAAGUCCCAGUGGCCCCGUGACCCUCCUACCUCUUCCCUUCCCAUGUGACAGGGGCCCUUGCAAGCCGCCCCCACGCCAUGAUCACACACCAGUGCAGGAUUGUUUAUUUGAUAUUUCCUUUGAGCCACCUCUUUGCUUGUUACUGAAAUGCCCCUUUGGCUUCAUCCCAGAGGGAAGUCCAUGACUCGGUGGCUUGGUGGCUCUGAUGUGGCUGGAGACACUGUUUUCUAACACACAGAAACAUGACUGUUAAAAGAGAUGGAGAUCGUCCCAGUGUCAACUACAGCCACCCCUGGGUCUCCUGGGGCCUGUUGGCCGACUUCAGUUGACCCCGGUGACAAUAAAGCCGCUUGGUGACCUGGGCCGAUUCCUGCCCGACUUGUCCCAGCCGGGCCCCGUUCCUGGAGGCUCUGUCUGACCUGGUCCUGCCGGUCGAGGUCAUGGUCACUGGCCCGUCUCUCCCAGGCUCUGCCCCCCAUGGGGGGUCCUCGGUAUCCAC
rnacentral:lncRNA from 1 species